AGCCCUCAAUGCCAUUGGUGGAGCCAACUUUGUGGAUGGGGUGAGGGCGAUCGUCAAGAACAUUGGACAGAACAAGCUCUGGGAAAACUACAGCCUAAAAGGGAUGAAGGGCAAACUGCCAUUGAAAGACCUCUCCAUAUGCAGGGUCAUAGUCAAAGCAUGCCAGAUGACAUUCAAGUCCGUCAAAACCCAAGAGGUCCAUGACGAGCUAACGGAGGUGCUGAAGUAUGCCCCCCACAGGUGUGGAGGAUCCAAGCACAAGCCAGAUCGAGAGGAGCCAGAUGAGGUGGUUCGGGCAUCUGGUCAGGAUGCC